rnacentral:lncRNA from 1 species
UUAAUAUAUGAAAUAGACUGGUUUUCUUUAUUUUAAAAUCAAGUACAUAUAAUUUCUCUCUCUCUUUUUUUUUCUCAGAGAUACAUCCUGCUGUGAAACCAAAUGUAAUCAGGUCAACACCAAGCCUUCAAAGUCCAAGUGCAAAACGAUUACUUGCACCCUCCAAUCACUCUUCAUUAAGUAUUUUGGGAAAAAGAAACUACAGCCAUCAUAAUGGUCUUGAUGAAUCAUCCAGCCAUACAACAAGAACAAUAAUGCAUGCUGCUCCCCAUAUCCAUAUGACCAAUGGUAAGGCCUUGCAAGCCAGUGCAAGUGCCAUUAAGACAAGUACCAUUCCAGUGAUCAAGAGACAGAGGCAAAAUUGGCUUGAUGCUUCAGAAGAUGGUUUCUUUAUAGCUACAGAAGAGACCAGAAAAAUCCGUAAGAAGUUCACCAGAUCACAGCUGAAAAGAGCUUCCAGAACACCUUGUUCUUCAAUCAUUGCAAAGACAAAGUCUCUCAUGAACAAUAGGCAGGCACGAACAGAGCCAGGAACCAUCAUGCACUGAAGAUAUAACAGCAUCAGCACCAUAAUAAUGUCAAAAUCAUGUUUAAUUGUGAAUGCAGAUACAACAGUACUUCACACAUCUUUGAGACAGAAACACUAUAUGGACGUAUUGUGGCUGGGUUGUGUGUUCUGGGCAGGAUCCAACAGCAGCCCUUGUUUUCCCUCACCUCUGCAAGGGCUACUUCUGGUUCACUGUGCAGGCCUAACCUGGAUUCCCUCUAUUCCCAAUCAUCAGUGUUAGCUGAUGAGGGAGGAACUGUUUGCACUGACCACACUGAAGGAGUAUGGAUGCAGAGUCCACCCACCACAUUUGUCUAUGCCUCCUAGUGGCUCAAUACAAAAAUAUGCAGCUUUCAAAACUAUUGCAGUGUCUUUAAAGUGGGAUUUAGCCUUGAGGGGUUGCAUUUCAAAAACAACUACAAACUUCGUUGAUAUUUUUCAGUAUUGGUUUGAGUCACUUUGGGUUUGAUUUUCUGAACUGCUGAGCAUCCAGACCCUGAAACAAGGACAAGGUGUUGUUUAGCAGUUCUGAAACUUUGAUUGAAUUAGGAAGUGCCCAUAACUAGUGGCAAAUUUUUAAAAGGUAGGCCAUAUUAGCUUUGAUUAAAAUCCUGGAAAGUAUUAUGUGUGGCUGUGAACAUCCAGCUGGACUAGUUGCAUGUGUAAGAGCUAGUCCUAUUGUCUGUAUAUUUGCAAGCAUCCACUUAUUUCUUUGGGUAUUUUUUGCAUUUCUUGAAGUCUAUUCUGAAUAGUGAAAACCAGCAGAACACCAUUCCCAGAAAACAUGAAGAAAUAAACUAUUUCCUAUUAGAAAUGUCUCUCCA